rnacentral:tRNA from 1 species
GCCGUGGCUCAUCGGCAGAGUGUCUGUUUGGCACGCAGAAGGUCCCGGUUUCAAUCCCCGGCAUCUCCA